UACGGGGGGGGCAAGCGUUGUUCGGAAUUACUGGGCGUAAAGGGCUCGUAGGCGGCCAACUAAGUCGGACGUGAAAUCCCUCGGCUCAACCGGGGAACUGCGUCCGAUACUGGAUGGCUUGAAUCCGGGAGAGGGAUGCGGAAUUCCAGGUGUAGCGGUGAAAUGCGUAGAUAUCAGGAAGAACACCAAUGGCGAAGGCAGCUCUCUGGGACGGUACUGACGCUGAGACGCGAAAGCGUGGGGAGCGAACAGG
rnacentral:rRNA from 1 species